AGCGAACGCUGGCGGCAGGCUUAACACAUGCAAGUCGAGCGGGCGUAGCAAUACGUCAGCGGCAGACGGGUGAGUAACGCGUGGGAACGUACCUUUUGGUUCGGAACAACACAGGGAAACUUGUGCUAAUACCGGAUAAGCCCUUACGGGGAAAGAUUUAUCGCCGAAAGAUCGGCCCGCGUCUGAUUAGCUAGUUGGUGAGGUAACGGCUCACCAAGGCGACGAUCAGUAGCUGGUCUGAGAGGAUGAUCAGCCACAUUGGGACUGAGACACGGCCCAAACUCCUACGGGAGGCAGCAGUGGGGAAUAUUGGACAAUGGGCGCAAGCCUGAUCCAGCCAUGCCGCGUGAGUGAUGAAGGCCCUAGGGUUGUAAAGCUCUUUUGUGCGGGAAGAUAAUGACGGUACCGCAAGAAUAAGCCCCGGCUAACUUCGUGCCAG
rnacentral:rRNA from 1 species